rnacentral:rRNA from 1 species
ACGAACGCUGGCGGCGUGCUUAACACCUGCCAGUCGAACGGAAAGGCCCCUUUGGGGGUACUCGAGUGGCGAACGGGUGAGUAACACGUGAGUAACCUGCCCUUGACUUCGGGAUAACUUCAGGAAACUGGGGCUAAUACCGGAUAGGAAUCCUUGCUGCAUGGUGGGGGUUGGAAAGCUUCGGCGGUUUUGGAUGGACUCGCGGCUUAUCAGCUUGUUGGUGGGGUAGUGGCUUACCAAGGCUUUGACGGGUAGCCGGCCUGAGAGGGCGACCGGCCACAUUGGGACUGAGAGACGGCCCAGACUCCUACGGGAGGCAGCAGUGGGGAAUAUUGCACAAUGGGCGGAAGCCUGAUGCAGCAACGCCGCGUGCGGGAUGACGGCCUUCGGGUUGUAAACCGCUUUCAGCAGGGGCGAAGCUUGUGGUGACGGUACCUGCAGAAGAAGCACCGGCUAACUACGUG